UGAGUAACACGUGAGUGACCUGCCUUUUAGACUGGAACAACUUACCGAAAGGUGAGCUAAUGCCGGAUGAGUUAUAUAAGUGCAUGUUUAUAUAGGAAAAGUUUGGGGAGACCUGACGCUGAAAGAUGGACUCGCGUCCCAUUAGCUAGUUGGUAGGGUAAUGGCCUACCAAGGCGACGAUGGGUAGCCGGCCUGAGAGGGUGGCCGGCCACACUGGGACUAAGACACGGCCCAGACUCCUACGGGAGGCAGCAG
rnacentral:rRNA from 1 species